UGUUUAUUUGGUGUUAAGAAAUUAUCAGAGUGCAUCAACUACUUGCUCAGAACCUGCAAAACCUUUGAUUUCAUUUAGUGGCCUGUUUGGGGUUUUAAAAACUUUUUUAAACUUCACGAAUAGGAAAAAUGGAAAAAGUGGUACAUUUGUGUGGCAUUACCAAUCCUUAAAUGCCUGUCUUCACCCUGGCGGCUGUUCUCUUGGAGGGCACUGGCAGAAGGAGAUUUGCUUGUAAGAUUUUGCCUCUUUGUGGAAUUUGAUAUCAGCAAAUCCACAAACAAAAUCCGAACUGGAACAACCAGUUAACUCCUCUCUCUUUAAUGCCAAGCUUUAUGGAAAUGUAUUCCUUGUGUGGUGUUGAGCUUUUUCUAAUGUCCAAUUUUAGAAAAUGUUCUGCAUGCGAACGCAGCAUCGUGCUCAUUGUACAAGUUACCCGACACUCAUCUCCUCCUCCAUAUGUAUGAUGGUGAAGAAAUAGCAACAUGUAUGUUCUUACCUCUCCUGAUCAAUUGUAAAUUACAAAUCUUUUCAUUAAUUUUUAAAUGAGAUAUAUUUACUCUGGCUAGCAGUUAAAAAUUUAUUCUUUUUAUUAUAUUUCAUUGCUACUUUUUUCUACUGACUCCAAAGCUUACUUUGGCGAAUAUUUCUUAUUUCUAGAUUGUUGUAUUUAUCUUAUUUCUAUAUUUAUCUAUAGUCACAGAAUGUUAAAGCUGAAAGGGACCAACCUCUCAUUUUACAAAUAAAGAAACUGAGGCCCCCAAAGUCAAUUAACUUACACAAGGUCAUGCAGUGGCAGGGCCCAGACUCAAUCUCAGCUCUCCUGCUUCCGGGCCCAGUGUUUUUCAUCUAAAGCACUGCAUUUAUAGAAGACCCGUAGCCAGCUUCUACUUUUAUGACACACUAAUUUCCCAGGUAUUUCAGCAGACAGUAUGUAUGCUUUAAGGAAAAUGUUCAAGAGUUCUUUAGUUCAUGGAUCCAAAUAUAAAUCUGGAUUUUUGGUUUAGAAAUGUUCAUUUCCCUCCGAAUUCAAUAUAUGUGCCCUACUCUAUGGAGUGGAUGUUUUCCCUAAAAGUUAUUUGCAAAAUGAAUUUUUAUAGAGCAUAUUCCAUUUUUUAAUAGAGAAGCUUCCUAUGUAAAGGAAUCUUCUGGUGACUUCUUUUGAAAAACAAAAAAUCCUCUUGUCAAUGCCCCGUAAUGUCUCCACUUCUUCUCAGUGUGAACUUUUGUGAUUGGUAUUUAUUUCAAGCAGGGCUAGCCAAUAUAGGCUUUCCCAGAAUCUACCUUAUCCUUCCCUUCUUAAACUUUCUAAGAUCAUUUCAGACUGUUAGAUGCUCAUGAGACACUGAAUUGAGUUCCAGAAGCCUCACCUAACGAAAUUUUGUCAAUCCCUGGGCUCAAACUCUAUCUCCACUUUCUCAAACCAUGGCAGAAUCCCCUAAGCAGUAUGAGCUCUGCAUGCGGUCUCUUUUCCAGAACAUUCUUUACCUAAUGCAAAGAAUGACUAGUAUGACUCUCUCUUUUGCUUAUUGUCAGGCUUCCUUCCAUAGCUCCUGUGUACCUCAGUAGUCUGGCUUAGUGGACUUGCAGGCAGUGCAACUCAUAUGGAGUGGUGUUCUCGUCCUUCUCCCGGACCUCCCCUGGUUUCCCUUUCAGGAAUACUCAAGACUGAUGGGAUGUUUCUCAUCAUCUAGACCAGAGGUAGACAAACUUUUCCUGUAAAGGGCCAGAUAGUAACUCUUUUAGGCUGUGUGGGCCACGGAUGACCUCUGCAGCAUAGUCGUCUUCUUCUUUGUUGCUGUUAUUUGUUUGCUUGCUUGCUUUACAACAGUUUAAAAAUGUAAAUACCAUUCUUAGUUCUCGGGCCAUACAAAGCCGAAGACUGGACGUGGCCCGCUUGUCAUAGUUCGCUGACUGCCAGUCCAGCCUAUCUCAUGUGAUGGGCAUCUCUGUGACCGAACCCACUUGAUGACUGGGUUGUGUGCUGGAUGACAUGGCUCAUUGACGUCCCAUCGACCACACUGUCAGACCAGCCUGCACAGAAGUGGGUGGAGAGGGGCUGCAAGUGCUAACCAGCACUCCUCGACAGCUGCCCUCUGGUUUUCUCUCCGUCUCUGUUUCUGUCUCUCUGACUACCUCAGUCUAGAAACCCUCAUUAUUUUCUCCAGAUCUCCUGGCCUGGUUAUCCAGUAUGCCUCUGCCUCCUCGAGUAUGGGAUGAGCUUGCAGGAAAGAAUGGAUUUAUGAGCUCUAUUAUUUCUCUUGUCCCAAACAGUGGGUGGGGAAUCCUGCCAUGGAUCAUCUGUCCCCCUCUGCCCCAUACUGCCAUCGCAAGUUCAGGGCUGUCUGAAAAGUCUGGUGGCCCAGGUUGUGAGAUUCUGGUUCAGUCUACAAUUUUCUAGGGAAUUCAUCAGCUCUCUUGGUUCCAGUGGCUGGUUUAAAACCCAGAAUGUCCAUGUGUCCCUUUUCUUUUCUUUUCUUUCCAGGGCACACCUGCAGCAUGUGGAGGUUCCCAGGUUAGGGGUCAAAUCGGAGCUGUAGCUGCCAGCCUAUGCCAUAGCCACAGCAAUGCCAGAUCUGAGCCGCAUCUGUGACCUACACCACAGCUCACAGCAAUGCCAGAUCCUUAAUCCACUGAGUGAGGCCAGACAUCAAACCCCUGUCCUCACGGAUACUAGUUGGAUUCGUAACCCGCUGAGCCACAGCAGGAACUCCAUGUGUCCAUUUUCUAAUGUGACGUGGGCCUGUUCUAGACUCAGCCGCAGCAAUGACACCAGUGAGGUACGGAAGGCAUCCUGUGCCCACAGCUUCCCCUGCCUAACCCCCUGCCUCCUAGCCCCUGCAGCCAUCAGGCACUCAGCACACCACCACCUCCUAUUUUCAAGGAUUUCUUAAAGAGUCUUCAUAUUUCUCUCCAUCUCAUUCCCAUCUCGACCUCUCAUGCUACUUGCGGGUGUAAAGCUCAGUUUCCCAUUUUCACAUUUGUUUGAAUAGAUAUUGGGGGAUAAGAGUGAAUGACGAGGUGUGUGCGACUGUGGUUUCUCCACCUGAACUGUGAAGGCCCAUUCGCUGGCGUAUGCGCCCCCCCAGUCCCCCACCACACACACCAUCCAGUUCUCUCAUCAGUUCUCCGGUCCAGUCCAGGUCUGAUGGGGCUGGUUGAAAAGGGGAUAUUGGGGGCUCCUGGGGCAUUUCCCUUUUCUUGUCUUUUGAAAACUUCUUUGCUCUGGCUUGUGCUGGCCUCUCCCAGGAAGCCAUUUGAAGAAACCACUCUGAGGCAAUUCUGGAGAGACCGACACACAGAAAGCUAGGACUUUGAUUCCAUGUGGACUCAAAUCACUUGGACAUACCUCUCAAGCUGCAGGAUUUUUUUCUUUUUUAAUCUAAGAAAAUUGCUUCUCGGGAACUUUCAUUUGCUUUCUGUCCUUUGAGCCCAGGGAUCUUCCCACUUACUGAAACCUAAAUUGUAAAAGUCAGAGACAUGAGUAAUUUUAGGAUUUCCCUAUUUGAGAGCAUCCAUCAAACAGUUUCUUUCUGCCUUUUGUUUAGGAUUUCCAGCCUUAGGAAGGGAACCGAGCUUGUACCUUGGACUCAAGAGCAGCAAAAUACUGCACUUGUCGAAGGCAAAAUGAGGAAGGUAAAUUGGCUACUCCAAUUCUGCAUAGUCAGGAGAGGGACUUUGGUUAAGUUAGAGCUCACCAUUCAAUGCGUAUCGAGUGUCAACAAUGCACUCAAGAAAAAUAAGGAAGAUAGAAAUUUACAGACCAAUAUCCUAAACUGGAAGGCAGAGAUAAGGUGAUUCCCCCCAGUGAUGAGCAUGUAUUCCUGGAUAAAACUUUCAAGAAGCAGUAGAAAUUAGGAGAGAUCAUCAUCCAGAUCUUUUUAGAAUUCCAACACAAAAUGGAAGGGAGCUCUCUGUAGGGUGAUAUUACAAAUGGUUUUUCUUGUCUUUCUUUCUUUUUCUUUUUUUUUUUCUUUAAAUAAAAAAGCAUUCCUUACUGGCUUGCUACCAGCAAUUGAACUGUAUUCUUUAUAUAGCUAGAGCUGUUUGUGCCCUCUUAAAAUAAACUUUU
rnacentral:lncRNA from 1 species